AACGCCUUACAGAAAAUUAUGUUCUACAAACCGGAGUCUUGAAUUCUAAGGGACGUUGCUAACAAAGAAAUGCAAACCUCCUCCAAGAAAGUACCGUAUUAGGGUCACCUUGAAGCCAGACUUUGGCUUAUUAAUCCAGGAAAUUACUGCAUUAGAAUCAUCUUUAGCCAGAGCUUAUAUACCUAAGCCAGAGCCAAGCUUACCUGACAAUUGGCAAUGAACCGAAUGCCUUAGGUUGGGUUGUGAAUGGCCACCGUAGAAGUACUGCCUGUUUUGGGUAAAAUCAUGGCUGGAACCCGAGCAAGACAAGCAAGCUAAGCUCAUGUUUAGCUUGGUCAGAAAACCUGUAAUAGAAACUCAGGUCUGAGUUUGGCUUGCCUUGAUCGAGGGCAACAUGACCCAAAUGAGAUUGGUUUGAUACUGGAUUGUUUGAUGGCGACUCCAAUAUGGUGAAAUUUACCCCCAAAAAAUGUGACAAAACAAAG
rnacentral:lncRNA from 1 species